rnacentral:rRNA from 1 species
AGCGAACGCUGGCGGCAGGCCUAACACAUGCAAGUCGAACGAAGCCUUCGGGCUUAGUGGCGGACGGGUGAGUAACACGUGGGAACGUACCUUUUGGUUCGGAACAACUCAGGGAAACUUGAGCUAAUACCGGAUGAGCCCUUAGGGGGAAAGAUUUAUCGCCGAAAGAGCGGCCCGCGUUAGAUUAGCUAGUUGGUGAGGUAAAGGCUCACCAAGGCAACGAUCUAUAGCUGGUCUGAGAGGAUGAUCAGCCACACUGGGACUGAGACACGGCCCAGACUCCUACGGGAGGCAGCAGUGGGGACUCUUGCGCAAUGGGCGAAAGCCUGACGCAGCCAUGCCGCGUGACUUCUUCCGGUCUUAGGAUUGUACCCUUCUUUUCCCAGGGACGAUAAUGACGGUACCUGGAGAAAAAGCCCCGGCUAACUUCGUGCCAGCAGCCGCGGUAAUAC